CGAGUUUGAUCAUGGCUCAGAACGAACGCUGGCGGCAGGCCUAACACAUGCAAGUCGAGCGCCCCGCAAGGGGAGCGGCGGACGGGUGAGUAACACGUGGGAACGUACCCUUUGCUACGGAAUAGUCUCGGGAAACUGGGGGUAAUACCGUAUGUGCCCUUCGGGGGAAAGAUUUAUCGGCAAAGGAUCGGCCCGCGUUGGAUUAGGUAGUUGGUGGGGUAAUGGCCUACCAAGCCGACGAUCCAUAGCUGGUUUGAGAGGAUGAUCAGCCACACUGGGACUGAGACACGGCCCAGACUCCUACGGGAGGCAGCAGUGGGGAAUCUUAGACAAUGGGCGCAAGCCUGAUCUAGCCAUGCCGCGUGAGCGAUGAAGGCCUUAGGGUUGUAAAGCUCUUUCAGUGGGGAAGAUAAUGACUGUACCCACAGAAGAAGCCCCGGCUAACUCCGUG
rnacentral:rRNA from 1 species